AAAGGAACUUGAUUGACUAAGUUAUUUGUUGCUUGAGGACAAGCAAAAAGCUAGGUGUGGGGGUAUUUGAUCAAGCAUAAAUUAGCCACAUUUUUAUUAUCUUUAUUAUUGCUUAUUUACACAAUUUUUAGCUUAAUUUAUGGUUUUUACUUUGUUUUUACAGAAAAGAAAGAAAUUGGAAAACUGAAGAAAAAGUGCAGAAAAUGACAGAAAAGUGAUUGGGUCAGUGAUUUGCCCAAAUCACUGCCCAAAUCAAGCAGAAACAGAAAGCUGAAAACUGGACUGAUUCACAGGAAG
rnacentral:lncRNA from 1 species